rnacentral:rRNA from 1 species
GAUGAACGCUAGCUACAGGCUUAACACAUGCAAGGCGAGGGGAAACGAUAUUGGAAGCUUGCUUCCGAUAGGCGUCGACCGGCGCACGGGUGAGUAACGCGUAUCCAACCUGCCCACCACUUGGGGAUAACCUUGCGAAAGUAAGACUAAUACCCAAUGACGUCUCUAGAAGACAUCUGAAAGAGAUUAAAGAUUUAUCGGUGAUGGAUGGGGAUGCGUCUGAUUAGCUUGUUGGCGGGGUAACGGCCCACCAAGGCGACGAUCAGUAGGGGUUCUGAGAGGAAGGUACCCCACAUUGGAACUGAGACACAGGCCAAGCUCCUACGGGAGGCAGCAGUGAGGAAUAUUGGUCAAUGGACGAGAGUCUGAACCAGCCAAGUAGCGUGCAGGAUGACGGCCCUAUGGGUUGUAAACUGCUUUUAUAAGGGAAUAAAGUGAGUCUCGUGAGACUUUUUGCAUGUACCUUAUGAAUAAGGACCGGCUAAUUCCGUGCCAGCAGCCGCCGUAA